rnacentral:lncRNA from 1 species
UGGGGGGCGCGGGCGAAGUUCGUCCGCCGGACUCGGAAUGGGGCGCGACUUUGCGCGGGGCCUCGGGGCGCCACAAAUAAGCCGCGGGCAAAGCCGCGCCCAAAAAUAAGCGCCCGAAGGUCGUGGUUCCAAAACACCCCAGCGGAAAAAUGGCCAAAAAACGGGUGGGCUAUAGCCUUGGUGGGGGGCGCGGGCGAAGUUCGUCCGCCGGACUCGGAAUGGGGCGAGACUUUGCGAGGGACCUCGGGGUGCCCGCGGGAAGUCGCGGGCACAGCCGCGUCCAAAAAUAACCGCCCGAAGGUCGUGGUGCCAAAACCCCCCAGCGGAAAAAUGGCCAAAAAACGGGUGGGCUAUAGCCUUGGUGGGGGGCGCGGGCGAAGUUCGUCCGCCGGACUCGGAAUGGGGCGAGACUUUGCGCGGGGCCUUGGGGCGCCAAAAAUAAGCCGCGGGCAAAGCCGCGCCCAAAAAUAAGCGCCCGAAGGUCGUGGUGCCAAAACCCCCCAGCGGAAAAAUGGCCAAAAAACGGGUGGGCUAUAGCCUUGGUGGGGGGCGCGGGCAAAGUUCGUCCGCCGGACUCGGAAUGGGGCGAGACUUUGCGAGGGGCCUCGGGGUGCCCGCGGGAAGUCGCGGGCACAGCCGCGUCCAGAAAUAAGCGCCCGAAGGUCGUGGUGCCAAAACCCCCCAGCGGAAAAAUGGCCAAAAAACGGGUGGGCUAUAGCCUUGGUGGGGGGUGCGGGCGAAGUUCGUCCGCCGGACUUUGAAUGGGGCGAGACAUUGCGAGGGGCCUCAGGGUGCCAAAAAUAAGCCGCGGGCAAAGCCGCGCCCAAAAAUAAGCUCCCGAAGGUCGUGUUGCCAAAACCCCCCAGCGGAAAAAUGGCCAAAAAACGGGAGGGCUAUAGCCUUGGUGGGGGGCGCGGGCGAAGUUCGUCCGCCGGACUCGGAAUGGGGCGCGACUUUGCGCGGGGCCUCGGGGCGCCACAAAUAAGCCGCGGGCAAAGCCGCGCCCAAAAAUAAGCGUCCGAAGGUCGUGGUUCCAAAACACCCCAGCGGAAAAAUGGCCAAAAAACGGGUGGGCUAUAGCCUUGGUGGGGGGCGCGGGCGAAGUUCGUCCGCCGGACUCGGAAUGGGGCGAGACUUUGCGAGGGACCUCGGGGUGCCCGCGGGAAGUCGCGGGCACAGCCGCGUCCAAAAAUAACCGCCCGAAGGUCGGGGUGCCAAAACCCCCCAGCGGAAAAUUGGCCAAAAAAGGGUGGGCUAUAGCCUUGGUGGGGGGCGCGGGCGAAGUUCGUCCGCCGGACUCGGAAUGGGGCGAGACUUUGCGAGGGGCCUCGGGG